CAGUUUUGGCGGAGCCAUCCUUGGGAUACCACCCUUGUAGUACUGGGACUCUAACCAUAGGCCAUGAAUCUGGUCUUGGGACACUGUCAGGUGGGCAGUUUGACUGGGGCGGUCGCCUCCCAAAAGGUAACGGAGGCGCUCAAAGGUUCUCUCAGUACGGUCGGAAAUCGUACGUAGAGUGUAAAGGCAAAAGAGAGCUUGAUUGCAAGACAUACAGGUCGAGCAAGGAUGAAAAUCGGACUUAGUGAUCCGGUGGUUCUGCGUGGAAGGGCCAUCGCUCAACGGAUAAAAGCUACCCUGGGGAUAACAGGCUUAUCUCCCCCAAGAGUCCACAUCGACGGGGAGGUUUGGCACCUCGAUGUCGGCUCAUCACAUCCUGGGGCUGUAGUAGGUCCCAAGGGUUGGGCUGUUCGCCCAUUAAAGUGGUACGCGAGCUGGGUUCAGAACGUCGUGAGACAGUUCGGUCCCUAUCCGUCGCAGGCGUAGGAAAUUUGAGAAGACCUGUCCUUAGUACGAGAGGACCGGGAUGGACGUACCUCUGGUGUACCAGUUGUCCUGCCAAGGGCAUGGCUGGGUAGCUAUGUACGGAAUGGAUAAGCGCUGAAAGCAUCUAAGCGCGAAGUCAACUUCAAGAUAAGAUUUCCCACCGCAAGGGUAAGACCCCAGAAAGACUAUCUGGUUGAUAGGUCGAAGGUGUAAGUGCAGCAAUGUAUUUAGCUUAUCGAUACUAAUAGGUCGAGGACUUGACCAAU
rnacentral:rRNA from 1 species